GGAACAUUAGUAUUUAUUAGUAUUAAUAAGAUAGUGUUUUAGAAACAUGACAAUACUGGACACUUGGAUCUUGCUGGAGGUGUUCAAAUUUCACAAACUGUUGAGAUUUCCAGGAGGCCAGAUCAUUAGGCAGAGUUUUCAGUGGCAAAGGGAUAAUUGUUUAUGGGUUUAGAAAUUCCCUCAUCAUUAAAAAGUACAAAAUGAAGUCACUACCUUAGUCAGUACACAGGUUUUGGUUAUCUCUAACAAAGUUAAACUAUCAAUUCUCAGAAUGUGACUUGGCUUUUAAAUGCCAAAUCAUUACCCUCACUGUGUUCAUUAAUUAACUACAUUAUUUUAUAGUAAAUGGUUGGCUAAGUUUUAAGGUUUACUUACAUGAUAUAGUGCUGUGUAUAUUUCUGAUGUGUAUGGGCACAAAUAACUGGAGAUAAGCCCUAGUAGUCUGGUCAGAAAAUCUUAAAAACGAAAUUGCUUGAAUUUCGUGAUGAAACAAAAUAGCAAAUAAAUAUGAGUCACAGUGCAAAUUUCAAAAUCUAUUAGCUGACAUGGUUUUUAAUUUUGUUUUCUUUUUUACUAGAAGAUACAUAUUUUAUGAAGUUACAGUAUGUCUCCAAAUUAUUGCUUGAAGUAGUCAUCCUUGAAAACUUUCUCUAAAUGCUUCAUUAAUGAUAGAUCUACCACCUGUCUCCUCAUCCAAUCAGCUCAGUUCUUCCUCAACAUCUCUUUGUGCUGCUGUAUGUGACUCUAUUACUAAUUUUUAUCUGGAUCAAUUGGAACAUGGGGUGAUUCUGAUUUUAUUUCUUGUUCAACAACUUCUUGAUUCUGAAAGUCUUGUGAGAAGAUACGGUACAGAAUGGAGUGAACCACUCACAUCUAAAUGGAGGAAAAAAAGGCCAU
rnacentral:lncRNA from 1 species